UCCCUUGUAGCUCAGUUGGUAAGGCAUCUGCCUGCAAUGUAGGAGACCCAGGUUCGAUCCCUGGGUUGGGAA
rnacentral:tRNA from 1 species